UACGUAGGUGGCGAGCGUUUGUCCGGAAUUACUGGGUGUAAAGCGCGUGUAGGCGGGAGGCCAAGUCUGCGGUGAAAUCGCUCGGCUCAACUGGGCGGGGUCCGUGGAAACUGGUCACCUGGAGGACGGUAGAGGCGAGUGGAAUUCCCGGUGUAGUGGUGAAAUGCGUAGAGAUCGGGAGGAACAUCAGUGGCGAAGGCGGCUCGCUGGGCCGGACCUGACGCUGAGACGCGAAAGCGUGGGGAGCAAACAGG
rnacentral:rRNA from 1 species